CUUCCCGUGCGAUCACCGAAGUUAAGCAACAUUCAGUUUGGUCAGUACCUAGAUGGGUAACCGCUUAGGAAUACCAGGUGCUGUCAG